rnacentral:rRNA from 1 species
UACGAAGGGUGCAAGCGUUAAUCGGAAUUACUGGGCGUAAAGCGCGCGUAGGUGGCCAAUUAAGUCAAAUGUGAAAUCCCCGAGCUUAACUUGGGAAUUGCAUUCGAUACUGGGAAGCUAGAGUAUGGGAGAGGAUGGUAGAAUUCCAGGUGUAGCGGUGAAAUGCGUAGAGAUCUGGAGGAAUACCGAUGGCGAAGGCAGCCAUCUGGCCUAAUACUGACGCUGAGGUACGAAAGCAUGGGGAGCAAACAGG